CCGCCCUUGAAUCCUCUCAUCUCUCAACCUAAAACCUAGCCGUAUUCCCCCUAAAUCCCUCUCUUAAUCCGACAUAACAUGGGAUUUCAUGGUCAUUUCUUGCGAAAUGGACCUCUCCCUGGUAGUGCAUCCUUUUCUAUACUGCUUGCCUAAAAAUGACAAGGAGAUAUCAUAAGAAUCGAACAAAAUUUGGUUCAGAUCCUUGACCUUUCUGCUUUUCCGUCUAUAUUCACUCUUGUUUUAUUAUGGGUUUGAAUCUCUGUAUAUUUCUAUUGAUUCUUACUAACCCAAAAACUAGGGUUUUUAGAUCUCCUUAGAUCGAACUAAAAUUGGUUCGAUUAUUUGAUUUGAGUGAUAUUAUGUCUAUAUUCGUCCUAUUCUGAGUGAUAUUUGAUUUUUACUUUUAGAUUCUGCCAAAUUUUGCACUUUCCCUAAAAUUAGGGUUCGAAAAAUUUUUCUCCUUUCCUUACUGACUUCGAUUACAUGUAAUAUUGUUUCCUUUCUAGUGUUAGAUUGAUGAUUUUUCUUGUUUGGAUGUUCAAUUUCUACUACUAUAUAAAUGUUUUCCCAUUCCCAUUUAAGACAGACGUGAAAUUAAGAGAUCUACUAAAAAACUGAAGUUACUACUAUUUGUUCUCUAGUACUCUUGUUCUAUAUUCUGGAUCUUGGCUGGCUGAAAGCCAAGGACAGAAAUUCUGGGUUCUUGCUAUUGUGGACUUUCGUUCUUUCUUGUUUUUCUCUUAACAGGUGAGUUAUUGAACCUUUGCAAUUUCAUUCCUAUAUAUCUGCAACUUGCAUAUGUUUUCACUUCUGAAGUUCAUAGCUUAAUCUGUUGCUGGGUUACUCCUGUGUGCAAUUCUACUUGCUUUACCUCAGUUUCAGGUCUCUUUAAUGUUUAACUUCAUAAUGUUAUUGCUUUGGAAUAUGCCUAAUCCUAAUUCGAAUAAUCAAGAUUCUCUUAAUUUUGCCCAUGUGUUAUGAACUGCUGCUGUAUGUGACCUUUGUACUUGUUAGCAUCUUUUUGGUGUUUAAUUCUUCUUAAGGUUGUCCAUUUUAUUAUUUGAAUAUGCUCCAUCUAUGUAACUUUGACUUCCUUUAGUUAAUUGGUCUAUUAGGUCAGACCUGAAUGCUUACACUUACUGUAUGACAUGAAUUUAUCUUCCUUUUCUGCUUUGAAUCUGUAUAAUGGCAAUCUCGCAUAGGUAGUAUGUCUUAAUUCUUUGUCAAGAUCCUGUUCUCUCAAUCAUGACUAGUUCUCAAUUAAUAUAACCUUCAAUAUGUUUUGGCUUACUUGAUUCUCUAGUAUGUUAUCAUAAUUUGCACUUCCCUACCAUGUCUAAAUGUUGUUCUGUUACCUGAUGUGAAGUUCACAUGGCUAUCUUAUGAAACUUGACAUAUACUUAACAUAAUUUGAACAUUUUUCCUUAUUAUGAGUCUGUGUAUGCCAAUCCUGCAAACCUGUUUGUUAAUGUGUGACUACUUAUGCACUAAAUGUUGACCUUGUUCUUCGGAAACUUUUCUAAGUUUGUUCUUAAAACCUAAUGCAUGUUUGAUUAUUUGCUCUAUGUGCUCAACUUGACUAUUUUUGUACCCUUCAGUUCUACUCCUCUACUAUUGUACUUUUCUCCCUCAUUAUUACUUAUGUUAUUCUGAACUCCCUAUUUGUUGCCGGCUGAAAGCCAAGGCUAUCAAGGCUCUUGCUAUUGACCUCCCUAGUGUGAGCACUGCUCGGUUCCAAUUGAGACCCUUGUGAACUCUGAUACACUAGGAUUUGGUCCCCGAUCAUUUCCUGAAUCUUCUUUAUUAAAACCUCCCUAGCGUGAGCACUGCCUUGGGUUCUUGAAGCCCUUGGGAACUCUAACACACUAGGGUCCAAGGUUCUUUCCCAUCUUGUCCUAAUUGCUCAAUUCUAUCCCAUUUCACUUGCUGAAUAAGCCAAUGUGCUUGUGUACAUGGAUAUUUUUGAAUAUUUGAUGGCUACUAGAUUCUAGCUAUGACUUCUGGGCUGUUGUGAACUAUGUGGAUUUGAAAUCGGAGGCCUGACCUAGCAGGGUGUACUUUGGGGCUGCUGCAGGCCUACUAUAGUUAUUUUGUAACUUUGUCAUUAAUUUCAUUCACUGGGCCUGUAAUAAUGAU
rnacentral:lncRNA from 1 species